AUCCUGGCUCAGAUUGAACGCUGGCGGCAGGCUUAACACAUGCAAGUCGAACGGUAACAUAAAGAAGCUUGCUUCUUUGAUGACGAGUGGCGGACGGGUGAGUAAUGCUUGGGAAUCUAGCUUAUGGAGGGGGAUAACUACGGGAAACUGUAGCUGAUACCGCGUAGAAUCGAGAGAUGAAAGUGUGGGACCUUCGGGCCACAUGCCAUAGGAUUAGCCACGUAGGNGUAGUAGU
rnacentral:rRNA from 1 species